rfam:Nitrospirae bacterium GWC2_57_9 gwc2_scaffold_25003, whole genome shotgun sequence.
UUUCCCCUGCUUUGCUCGUGAUUGAUAUAACUUGUUCCUCGUGAAAAAAAAUUAAUGGGAGCUGUCCCCGGGAAAGGGUGUGCAUGCCCAGAUAAGACUGGGAAGCCUAAACUUUCCGCAAUAGCGCCCACCUGGUUACGACCAGGAAUCAAGUUUAUCCACACGGCAAUAGCGGGGGAUUU